rnacentral:sRNA from 1 species
UUUAUACCUGAUUUUAUUUAUAAUUUCAUUUAUUUUAUAAACAUUUUAUUUUUUGUUUCCGUCCAUGUAGAUUUUACCUUUAAUUUUAAGUAGUUUUACAUACACACACUAUUACAGAUUGAUUUUUACUGCAAAAUGAACAGAAGUUGAUUUCAACCAACAAAAACAAUUCUUUUAUUGUUAAUAUGCUCUUAUAAUAAAAUUUAUGUACGACAUAGAUUUGAUAUUUGAUCCUCUGUUGAAUCCUUUGAAGCUACUGCAUGAUCUGAAUCCAUUUUUUGUUAAUUUAUUUUUAAGUUAUUUGUCACUGGUGAGGGUAUUGCACAAAUUUUCCUGAGAUUACACAAAUCUUUUUCAGUGUCUAUCCAACUUUACCGCCUGCAGCUAAGCCCUGCCCACUUUUGUGUGACAUUAGCUCUGAUAUUUGUUGUGUUUUCAAUUCUCAAUACAUGUAUAUAAAUGAUGUAUAAAGAUCUGUGCUUAUUCUAGCUGUGUCAAAAUAAAUAUCUGUUUUUU